rnacentral:tRNA from 1 species
GUCUGCUUGGCUCAGUCAGUAGAGCAUGUGAUUCUUAAUCUCAGGGUCAUGAAUUCAAGCCCCACAUUGGACA